rnacentral:rRNA from 1 species
UACGGGGGGUGCGAGCGUUUGUCCGGAAUCACUGGGCGUAAAGAGCUCGUAGGCGGUUUGUCGCGUCUGCUGUGAAAACCCGAGGCUCAACCUCGGGCCUGCAGUGGGUACGGGCAGACUAGAGUGCGGUAGGGGAGAUUGGAAUUCCUGGUGUAGCGGUGGAAUGCGCAGAUAUCAGGAGGAACACCAAUGGCGAAGGCAGAUCUCUGGGCCGUAACUGACGCUGAGGAGCGAAAGCAUGGGGGAGCGAACAGG